UUACCGUGAGGGAAAGUUGAAAAGCACUUUGAAGAGAGAGUUCAAGAGUACGUGAAACCGUUCAGGGGUAAACCUGAGAAACCCGAAAGGUCGAAUGGGGAAAUUCAUUCGCGUUUCGAUUGUCGGCGUUGAGCGGUUGCGUGACGGACGGAGUCCGCUUCGUCCGCUCCUUCCGUUUUUCGAACCGGCUUCGAACGCGUGCACUUUUCCCCUAGUAGGACGUUGCGAUCCGUUGGGUGUCGAUUUAAGGCCUGCGAAGGAGCUCGCGUAGACGUUUCGGCGUUCUAUACGAACUCGCGGUGUCCCGAUCGACUGCUCGACGGUAUAAAGAUGGCGCGGGGCCGCUCUACAUAGUUAGCGUUCGACCUACGGCAAGCGCGUACGGUGUCGACGGCGAUCAGACCUGGUCGGAUCCCGUCCCCGGACGACUGUUGGCUCGUAGUGUUCUCGAACAGACCUCGUUGAAACGCCGAUCUGCGACGCUAUAGCUUUGGA
rnacentral:rRNA from 1 species